AGUGAACGCUGGCGGUAGGCCUAACACAUGCAAGUCGAACGGCAGCACAGUAAGAGCUUGCUCUUACGGGUGGCGAGAGGCGGGCGGAUGAGGAAUAUAUCGGAAUCUACUUUUUCGUGGGGGUUAACGUAGGGAAACCUACGCUAAUACAGCAUACGACCUACGGGUGAAAGCAGGGGAUCUUCGCACCUUGCGCGAUUGAAUGAGCCGAUGACGGAUUAGCUAGUUGGCGGGGUAAAGGCCCACCAAGGCGACGAUCCGUAGCUGGUCUGAGAGGAUGAUCGGCGACAUGGGAGCUUAGACACGGUCCAUACGCCUACGGGAGGCAGCAGUGGGGAAUAUGGGACAAUGGGGGCAAGCCUGAUCCAGCCAUACCGCGUGUGUUAAGAAGGCGUUCGGGUCGUAAAGCCCUUUUGUGGGGAAAGAAAAGCAGCAGGUUGAUACGCCGCUGGUCUGACGGUACCCAAUGAAGAAGCACCGGCUAACUUCGUG
rnacentral:rRNA from 1 species